GUUGAGUCUUAUUAUCUAUUGCUCCAUUAGCUGAUCUUUUGAUAUUUUUAUUAUUCUGCCCUUGUGUAUCAUUUGAUUUUGCUCUCUUUCUUUGCUUUCUUUCCCUUUCCAUGCAUUCUUCAUUGACUUCUCUUUCAAUUAUCAGUACUUUAUUUACCACAUCUGCAUAAGUUGUCGAUUCAUAUGGAACCACUUGUUUUCGAAUCUCAGUUCUCAGUCCCAUCUCAAACUUGUGAAUACAUUCUUGCUCACCAUCCACUAAUCUCGGAGCAAAUUUUGCUAAC
rnacentral:lncRNA from 1 species